GGUCGCCCCCGACCACCUCGUCGGCACCGACACCGGGAGGGGAUAAGGGCGACGCCUCGGGCUCCCCUCUCCCACUUGCCCCUCUCCACUUGCCCCCUUGCUCUCUCUCUCUCUCUCGCCCACGCGCUCGCCUCUCUCCUCCAGAUCCCCCGCCGAACGCGCCCGCCGCCGUCGCCGCGUCGAUCCUGCGGCCACCAUCGUCCCUGUGCCGUGCCGCCGUGUCCGAUCGCUCCUCUGUCUACUUAUUCGUCACCUGGCGCUUUCCAUUGGAGCCGAGGGGCCCUGCAGCGCCGAGCCAUCUUCGUCCCCAACCUACGGCCACCGAGGUCGCCACCGUCGAAUCGGCAUCGCCUCUGCGCUCCCGUCUCCCCAGAGGGCCUCCGUGUGCCCGCUAGAUGGUGGAUCUCUGGAGCUAGAUGCCACUGCCGAUGGAUGCUACUUCAUGGAGACCGCCAAAGACCAGGAGUAGUUAGGAGGUCCCAGGAAGGAGGCCUUGCCUCUUCGAUCGUUGUUGCUUUUGUGCUAGCCUUCUUAAGGCAUCCUUGUUUAACUUAUGUCUGUACUCAGAUAUUGUUGCUUCCGCUGACUCUUAUGUAUCGAGAUAUGUAUUCGAGCCCUCGAGGCCCCUGGCUUGUAAUAUAAAUCUUGUAUUA